rnacentral:rRNA from 1 species
UUGACCUCGGAUCAGGUAGGACUACCCGCUGAACUUAAGCAUAUCAAUAAGCGGAGGAAAAGAAACCAACAGGGAUUGCCCCAGUAACGGCGAGUGAAGCGGCAACAGCUCAAAUUUGAAAUCUGGCCUUCGGGUCCGAGUUGUAAUUUGGAGAGGAUGCUUCUGGCGCGGCGCCGUCCGAGUUCCUUGGAACAGGACGCCAUAGAGGGUGAGAGCCCCGUACGGGCGGCCGCCUAGCCUUUGUGAAGCUCCUUCGACGAGUCGAGUAGUUUGGGAAUGCUGCUCAAAAUGGGAGGUAAAUUUCUUCUAAAGCUAAAUAUUGGCCAGAGACCGAUAGCGCACAAGUAGAGUGAUCGAAAGAUGAAAAGCACUUUGAAAAGAGGGUUAAAAAGUACGUGAAAUUGUUGAAAGGGAAGCGCCUGUGACCAGACUUGCGACCCGCGGAUCAUCCGGUGUUCUUCACCGGUGCACUCCGCGGGCUGCAGGCCAGCAUCGGUUUUCCUAGGGGGAUAAAGGUCGCGGGAACGUAGCUCUUUCGGGAGUGUUAUAGCCCGUGGCGUCAUGCCUCUGGGGGGACCGAGGACCGCGCUUCGGCAAGGAUGCUGGCGUAAUGGUCACCGGCGACCCG